CUUCAAGUUUAAGACUUUCGGAGCAACCAUUCACACUUCAAGCCCAAGCCCUAACAAUUACCAUUCACACUUCAAGCCCUAACAAUUAGCUAUCUGACUCUCCUUCGUUGCGACUUUCGGAGCAGCCAACGUUGAUGCCGAUGAGGAUUCCCUUUCCUUGCGACUUUGCGAGGCAGACGAGGACGCCGAUGACUACUCAUCUCUCCCCUGCGACUCUGAGAGUAGCUGACGAGGACCCCUCUCCCUUGUGACAGCCAACGAGAAUUCGCUUCUAGAAUUCUAGAUUCAUAAUAGAAAGCUGAACCUAUCUUCAUACAUCCUUCCAUGAUAGGUGGUGUGUAAUUUCUAUUUUAAGUUCUAUUUGUAUUAUUUCCGCUGCUUUUCCUCCAAUUGAAUUGUAGAGGCUUGGAACAACCCAAUACUAUCCUCAGAAGCUUGUAGUUACCAUAUUUUACUGGAGCGCUAGUUGUCCAAGAUUUCACCCCGUUGUCUAUCACUGCUUUACCAUUAUUUCAUUCUCACUCAAAGCAUUUCCUUUCAUCAAAUGUUGUGCUCUCUUGUUCUUAAAGCUGUUUCUGUUUUCUUGACCAGCAAUGCCAGAUCCCAAGCUAACAGGAGGAGUCACAAGGUUAGUUUUCUUUACUGGAUGCUUUGCAUAUUUGAAACUACAAUGAUUUGAGUCUUGUAAAUGGAGCAACAAACAUUAUGAAGAAAGAAAGGAACUUCUGCAUAAGUACAAUUAUAGACUAACUAGUGAACAAAUGUUUCUCAUCUUUCUACAAUUAUAUAUUUUGAGCAAACAUUGGGCCAUAAUUGCAGUAAGUAUGAACUUGUCUGACAAUAAUAAUAGAUAGGAAUUCCAGUUAGUGAUUUCCGUUUGAAAGUUAUGAAUGUUGUUUAUUAAGAAUUUAAUAGCUAGUUAUUGUAGACCAAGUGGCACCAUGGCAAACUCAAUUCAACUUAACCAUGUCUCAUUAUGUUGAUUAAUAGGCUCUGUUUUUUAAAUUCGUAACAAUGGAGGUAUUCACUAAAGAGUUGAAUCUCCACUUCACAUUCUUAAUUCUGUCUAGCCUUUAUAUACUUGUAUAUUAGCAUUGGUUUCUUACAAUAUUAGAGUUCUUUUAGUAGGCUAUUUAUCUAAUAUUAUUAGCUCAUAGUUCACAUAUGUUUGUAGUUUAUGGCCCUGGAUUUUUUGCAUGUUCUCUAUCUUUAUGGGUUAUGCAUCACUUAUUCCUUAACAAUGACCUUUUUUGGAUUAAACAAAUAAGGGUCUAGUAAAGCAGUCUGCUCAGCCAGUUCAAGGUGUUAAUCUUGCAUCAGAAGUUGAUGUUAGAGUUGAUGAUGCAGACACUUAUGUUGGUGACCAAGAGUUUUCUGUUCGAAAAUCUCCUCGACAGGAUAACCUUUCUGUGAAUGAGCAGAGUUCUGGAGAUGGUGGACUGUGACAGGAUAGUCCAAAGGUGUUUGAUGAAUUCUCUUUGGCCAAUAAAAAGCAGCCUGUGGAUUUCUCAUAUUUCUCAUAUUGAGCUGAAGAAUACAGAUCCUCU